AGUGAACGCUGGCGGCGUGCUUAACACAUGCAAGUUGAACGAGAACGGGUUAUAGCUUGCUAUAAUUGUCAGCUAAGUGACGCACGGGUGAGUAAUGUAUAGGUAAUAUGCCUCUUACUAUGGGAUAACUAAUGGAAACGUUUGCUAAUACCUUAUACUCCUUAUUAACAUAAGUUAAUAAGGGAAAGAUUUAUUGGUAAGAGAUUAGCCUGUAUUGUAUCAGUUAGUUGGUGGGGGAAUGGCUUCCCAAGACUAUGACACAUAACUGGUUUGAGAGGAGGAUCAGUCAAACUGGAACUGAGACACGGUCCAGACUCCUACGGGAGGCAGCAGUGGGGAAUAUUGCACAAUGGACGAAAGGCUGAUGCAGCAACGCCGCGUGGAGGAUGACACAUUGCGGUGCGAAAACUCCUUUUAUAUGAGAAGAUAAUGACGGUAUUAUAUGAAUAAGCACCGGCUAACUCCGUGCCAGCAGCCGCCGUAA
rnacentral:rRNA from 1 species